CGGCACUGCAGAUGUUUUGGACUACACCUCCCAUGUUGCUUUGCCAGCAUUAUGGGGGAUGUAGUCCACAACAUCUGGAGUGCCG